rfam:Cavia porcellus supercont2_23 genomic scaffold, whole genome shotgun sequence.
GGGGAUUUAGCUUAGCGGCAUAAGCACCUGCCUUGCAAACAGGUGGUUGUGAAUUCAAUCCCUG